AGAGUUUGAUCCUGGCUCAGAUUGAACGCUGGCGGCAUGCCUUACACAUGCAAGUCGAACGGUAACAGGCCGCAAGGUGCUGACGAGUGGCGAACGGGUGAGUAAUGCAUCGGAACGUGCCCAGUAGUGGGGGAUAGCCCGGCGAAAGCCGGAUUAAUACCGCAUACGACCUGAGGGUGAAAGGGGGGGAUCGCAAGACCUCUCGCUAUUGGAGCGGCCGAUGUCAGAUUAGCUAGUUGGUGGGGUAAAGGCCUACCAAGGCAACGAUCUGUAGUUGGUCUGAGAGGACGACCAGCCACACUGGGACUGAGACACGACCCAGACUCCUACGGGAGGCAGCAGUGGGGAAUUGUGGACAAUGGGCGCAAGCCUGAUCCAGCAAUGCCGCGUGCAGGAAGAAGGCCUUCGGGUUGUAAACUGCUUUUGUCAGGGAAGAAAUCUUCUGGGUUAAUACCUCGGGAGGAUGACGGUACCUGAAGAAUAAGCACCGGCUAACUACGUGCCAGCAGCCGCGGUAAUACGUAGGGUGCGAGCGUUAAUCGGAAUUACUGGGCGUAAAGCGUGCGCAGGCGGCUUUGCAAGACAGAGGUGAAAUCCCCGGGCUCAACCUGGGAACUGCCUUUGUGACUGCAAGGCUAGAGUACGGCAGAGGGGGAUGGAAUUCCGCGUGUAGCAGUGAAAUGCGUAGAUAUGCGGAGGAACACCAAUGGCGAAGGCAAUCCCCUGGGCCUGUACUGACGCUCAUGCACGAAAGCGUGGGGAGCAAACAGGAUUAGAUACCCUGGUAGUCCACGCCCUAAACGAUGUCAACUGGUUGUUGGACGGCUUGCUGUUCAGUAACGAAGCUAACGCGUAAAGUUGACCGCCUGGGGAGUACAGCCGCAAGGUUGAAACUCAAAGGAAUUGACGGGGACCCGCACAAGCGGUGGAUGAUGUGGUUUAAUUCGAUGCAACGCGAAAAACCUUACCUACCCUUGACAUGUCAAGAUUCUUGCAGAGAUGUGAGAGUGCUCGAAAGAGAACUUGAACACAGGUGCUGCAUGGCCGUCGUCAGCUCGCGUCGUGAGAUGUUGGGUUAAGUCCCGCAACGAGCGCAACCCUUGUCAUCAGUUGCUACGAAAGGGCACUCUGGUGAGACUGCCGGUGACAAACCGGAGGAAGGUGGGGAUGACGUCAGGUCCUCAUGGCCCUUAUGGGUAGGGCUACACACGUCAUACAAUGGCCGGUACAGAGGGUUGCCAACCCGCGAGGGGGAGCCAAUCCCAGAAAACCGGUCGUAGUCCGGAUCGCAGUCUGCAACUCGACUGCGUGAAGUCGGAAUCGCUAGUAAUCGCGGAUCAGCUUGCCGCGGUGAAUACGUUCCCGGGUCUUGUACACACCGCCCGUCACACCAUGGGAGCGGGUUCCGCCAGAAGUAGUUAGCCUAACCGCAAGGAGGGCGAUUACCACGGCGGGGUUCGUGACUGGGGUGAAGUU
rnacentral:rRNA from 1 species